AGAACUUACAGCUGUCAGUUCUGAGGGAAGGCAGGCAAUGACCCACAGCCCAGGUGGGGCUCGCUAGCUUGGGGAGGAGGUGUGUGAUUCCUCAUCUGGAGAAGGUUCAGUGAUCAGCUGUGAGGGCAGACAAGCCUUGUGCUUGUUCCAACUUUAGGCACAUACUGUAAAUAUGAGUGUUUUGCCUGCAUAGUUUUGACUAAUGCCAUCGCUGUGAACAGCUGCAAGAAUAUAAGCUGGCUGUAAUUACUUUGUGCGUAAGAGAGAAACAUGGUGGAAGAAAUCAGAAUGCGAGAACGCCGUCCGGUGGUGUCAGAAAACGGAAAGGAGGGAAACAAACACAAAGAUCCAUGGAAACAGAACAAUCAGUAAAGAUUUCAUGAAGGUGUCAGAAAAGAAGAUUCAGCCGGGUGGCUCGGAAACAAACUGUGAAGUGAAUAAAUUCAUGCAGGAAAGGGAAAGGGAAAGGAUCAUCUUUGCUAUAGUCUGUGAUUAUGUGCUGCCAAGACAUUUUGCUCAAUGUCUGGCCUUGAUGCUUUGUAAGUAACUGCUGCGUGUAUUCCUACAAUCUCUGGUGCAGUAUUGCAGUUGCUGGAUCAUUGAAAGUCAAGGGAAGAGCUGAGCUGCUGGCCUAAAAUCACAAUGAUAACGCUAACAGCCUAGGAUCAAAGGAAAUGGAUCUGGUCGUCUGGCACUUUACGAAAGAAGGAAGAGGAGCUGAGUGGAAGUGAUUAGGUUGAGGCUAAAAAUAACAUUCGUGGUUACAAUAAAGUGAUGCAAUUGGAAUACAUGGGUUCCAAUUCUUAUUUUCCUGAAAGUAGUUACAAUCAUUGAGAAGUUGAACAAACACUGAUAAGGCACAAGGAUACAAAGGGGCCAAUUCCACUGCAAAGACGCCCAAUGUAUCAAUUGCAUAAGGGUCACUUUAGGGAUUCACAUUUAUAAGUAGUAAAGACACGAUUACAAGAAAAAUACCUAGAUACAAUUUAAAAUUACCUGGAUACAAUUACAAGGAAAUACUUGGAUACAAUUAUUUUUUUAAAAAUACUUGGAUACAAUUAUAAAAAUAGACAUAGGAUAAAUUCAGGAAAUAGGGUAAUAGGCCGUACAGGGAAGAAAGAAAAAUGCUUUAUUUGACAGAAAGGAAAGAAGGGAUUUGAAGUAGGGGAAGAACGGGAGAAGCACAUUAAAAGGAGAGCAGACUAAAAGGCAAAAUUGAGGAAAAGGUUCAUAUAUCUCUUAGGUUGUCUUCAUUUGGUUUAUUUGGUCCUGGUUUUCAGCUUCUUUGGCUAUUCUUCUACAUCAGCUGAAAAUCCAAAGACCCAGAUCCAGACAGUGCAAAAUUGUGUUAUGAAUUGUCGUUGUUGCUGUUUUGCAGUAGGAAGUUAAUCUAGAUGAUACUGUGAUAGGAAUUUUAUGGUCUUAGAUAUAUGGUAAUGUUCAUAAGUGUACCA